UUUUUUAUAGUAUAGGGAAGUACAUUUACCUUCCAAGUAAAAAGACCUAAUCAGGUCCUAUUAUAAGAUAA
rnacentral:tRNA from 1 species